UCAGCUCCUGAUUCUGCAGAAAACACGAAACUGAGCUGUACAAAGAUGCUGAUGAGGGGCUGCAGCAUGCAAUUCACUUCACCAGCAGUCACUAAGGUCUGAUCUCUUUUCUAACCAUACCUGGAAGAUGGAAUGCUGGACCCAGGGUAUGCAUAGAAAAUGGGAGUUAUUAGAAAAGCAGCUUUGCUUGCUUUAACCCAGGAAUUGUAUUUCUGACUAGACUUGGACUAGAACUUUCACCAUUGGCUUACCUGGUUCUCAGACUUUUAGACUUGGACUGGGACUACACCAUCAACUUUCCUUGGUCUCCAGCUUGCAGACAACAGAUUAUGGGACUUGCCAGUCUCCAUAAUCAGAAGGCUUUGACAUAUCAAUGCACCAGGGAUCUUACCAAACUAAAUUUUAAGCACUUAUAGCUCAAGAUUCUCCCUCUGAGAUGAAACAUACUUCCACCCUGUCAUGUGUCAGCUUCAGAAGAUAUCAAUUGCUCAAGAAAGUGUUGGACAAGCAGAAAAGCACACUGAACAUUUCUGGACUUGUGAAAGAGCUCUGAAUAUGGAUCUCUCAGGGAUAUUCCAUCCCCACCAAUGCUUUACCAAUGCGAGAGCUGGCCAGGCUGAGACAUUUAAUGAUAACAUGGAACAAUUUAUUCAGGAAGAUAGUCAACUACUCAUGUGGCUUUAUGAUUAUAAAACCCACUGAAAAUUGGGUCCCUUGAUUCUCUUGAUUUUUCCUAAGCCUUACUCCCUAAAGUCUCCAAUUUGAUGAGGUAUUUGAUACUUGAUCUCUCCUUGAAGUAAAAUUUGGAGCAAAAUAUAUUGGACUGGAAGGCCUGAGACCUCGAUAAGAAGAAACAUGAACCCCAGAGCCACAGGUGCAUGACUGUUGCUCUUUGACCUGUGUGGUGAGGGGUUACAUGUUAACCAGACUCCCUAGUCUCACUGCAAUUUCUGCCUCUCGGGUUCAAGUGAUUCUCCUGCCUCAGCCUCCUGAGUAGCUGGGAUUACA
rnacentral:lncRNA from 1 species